rnacentral:rRNA from 1 species
AAAUUGAAGAGUUUGAUCAUGGCUCAGAUUGAACGCUGGCGGCAGGCCUAACACAUGCAAGUCGAACGGUAACAGGAAGCAGCUUGCUGCUUCGCUGACGAGUGGCGGACGGGUGAGUAAUGUCUGGGAAACUGCCUGAUGGAGGGGGAUAACUACUGGAAACGGUAGCUAAUACCGCAUAAUGUCGCAAGACCAAAGAGGGGGACCUUCGGGCCUCUUGCCAUCGGAUGUGCCCAGGUGGGAUUAGCUUGUUGGUGGGGUAACGGCUCACCAAGGCGACGAUCCCUAGCUGGUCUGAGAGGAUGACCAGCCACACUGGAACUGAGACACGGUCCAGACUCCUACGGGAGGCAGCAGUGGGGAAU